rnacentral:rRNA from 1 species
UACGGUGGCUAUAGCGAAGGGGCAACACUUGUUCCCAUCCCGAACACAAAAGUUAAGCCAUAAAGAGCUGAAAGUGCUAUUAUAAAAACAUUGUGGGAGAUAAAAUAUAGCCGCUGUUU